CUCCUGAGUAGUUGGGACUACAGGCGCCCGCCAUCACGCCCUGCUAAUUUUUUGUAUUUUUAGUAGAGUCGGGGUUUCACCGUGUUAGCCAGGAUGGUCUCGAUCUCCUGACCUCGUGAUCCGCCCACCUCCGCCUCUCCAAGUGCUGGGAUUACAGGCAUGAGCCACCGCGCCCGGCCCUUGUAUUUUUAAACUUUGACUUUAUGGAGACGAACACCAUCGUUUGCUGAACACUUGAAACAUGAUGAAAGAGCCACAGAGUUGGCAGAACUGUUUGAAAAUGCUGUGCAAGCGGUCUUCUCUGUCUUCUUUAUGGCCAGUAAAAUUCUCCAGAAGAGAUUUAUGGCAGCCUCACUCCCAGUAGUUUCUGCAUUUAGUGAGAUAAGCCACAGCAAUUGUCUGCUAUUUUAAAAGCACUGUGAUGCUUAAAUAUUCCAGCUGCUACAUCGGACAGGUGUCUGAUGAUCCUGAGAACAGUCAUCAAAAAGUAGAACUUGAGCCUGGAAUACAUUCUCUGGCAUAGCCAUAGUCAAUCACCAGUAUAAUUAAUGUAAAUGGACACUGGAUAGCUUUUUUGUGAAUUCUGAUGCAGCACAAAGAGACUUUAAUUGUUUCCAAAAAGAAAAUGUCUGAGAUUAAAAUCUAGAGUUUUAUGACUUAGAGGAAAUUUUAUAGCUUUACUCCAAAAAGGGUAAGGCACAAAAUAUUCUGUGCCAAAGGAUGCAUAUUUGGUAUUUUUCCUAUGAAUCCCUUAGUGUAAGUGGCAUGAUGAAAUUUUCUUGGUUUCAACACAGAUGAUGUGUUGAGGUAGUGUUGAGGCUGAGAGGUGGGUGGGAUGGGUCUUGGAGAAGGAAAAGAUUUGUUUUGCAAGGUUUGUGGAGAGCUGAUGCGGUAGUGAGGCUAAGACGAGGGGUAUUUACUUGCUACUUACAUUGAGUCCACUAACAUCUGCAGCACUUUGCUUGCAUUAUCCACGCAAUUAUCACGGGAAACCUAUAAAAUAAGUAUUCCUCUCCUCAUUUUACAAAUAGGGAAGCAGAUAAGAUUUAGAAAAUUUCCCAAACUCACACAAUUAUUAAAUGACAGAACUAGGACUCAAACCCAGGUUUUAUUAAUUUUAGAGACAUGUUUUUAACCACUUGGACACUGCCAACCAUGGAAUUGUUGGUAUGAAAAAAACGUACUCUUGAGUUAUAUUAUCCAUGGUCUUAAUAUCAGAGAAGUGCAGUUGAGUCGCUAUUAAAGAAUAUGGUAAAAUUAUAAAAUGGAUACUAUACAAAGGUAUAAAAAUAUUAUAAAUACUUAUGUUUGGGGUAAAAGGAUCAAAGUAGCCAUGCUCAGUGGAAGGGUAAGGAACUCUUAGCAGAGAUUGAUUAAUUGGGAGAUAAUUGAUUAAUUGGGAGUUGAUUGAUUAAUUGGGAUUUAUUAAUUUGGGAGUAGGUAGGAAGAUAGGAAGUUGUAUAAAAUAAGGGAGAGAUAACUUAGUACCUGGAAAAAAAGAAAUGGAAAUAGGUAGAAGCUAAGAGUUCAAUUAAAAAAAAGGAAUAAAAGAUAUUGGAAGGGAACGAUGAAUGUAGCAUGGAAGAUCCAAGAUGAUGGGAGUUCAGGGGCUAAUUACAGCUAUGGGGAAAAAGUAAUGUAUAAGCUGGAAGCCAGAGAUAAGAGCCAUGUAAAUGAAGAAGUUGGGCCCCAAUAGGAAAGAAUUAUAAGGACUAGAAGGAGCAGGAGCCAUGUGGAAAAAUAUCAUGUAGUACUUUUAAGCUUGAUCUGUCAUCUGUAGCAAAACCAGCAUGCUUGAGUACUGAAUUGACCUGACUGAACUAUGUUGAAAUGUACUGUGGUUUUAUAUCCAUAUGCACUUGGUCUGUGGAGUUGUGGGAAAAGCAUCAGUGAGUAGGAAGCCCAAGGAUUUGGGUCAAGUAUUAAAUAUGCUAUUUACUGUCUAGCUAUGUGACCUUAUAUAAGUCACUUGUGGUCUCUGAGCCUUCAUGUAUUCAUCCAUAAGAUGAGUUGUUGUUUAUAUUAAAUGGGAUGUGGUAUGUUAAAGAGCUGAAUGCAUAGUGAUACAGAAUUACUUUCUGUAAUACUAUUUUUUAAAUAUUUUAAAUGAAAAAUUAAUGAACUUAUAAAUUAAAAGAUUCAAAAGGGAUAAAAAGGUAUACAAUGAAAAGCAAUUCUCCUUCCCACCAGUAACUCUGUCCUACUCCUUAGGACAUUCACCAUAAACAGAUAUCCUGAAUUCUUCUAGAAAUAUUAUAUAUAAAAUCUUAUAUUUCUUAUGUUUCUUUUUUACUAUUUUAAAGGGGAUAAACUAAACUUUGCUUUUUUUCAUAUAAUAAUAUAUUCUGGAGAUCAUUUUCUAAAAGCACAUGUAAACAUACCUCAUUAUUAUAAAGGUUUGAAAAUAUCAAUUUAUUUGACCUGUCCCCUCUCGAUAGAUAAUUAGAUUGUAUCCAUCCCUUUGGUUAUUACCAACAGACACUAAUCACUUAUCAUGUACAUAUAGCCUGUUUUUUAGCAUUGUUAGACAAAGUAGGCAUAUUCCUUUCCAUCCAAGAACUCAUAACCUAGUAAUUGUAGUUGGCUGAUAGCUCAUUGCCCAUACACAAGGAUCUAACACAACCUCUUGAAUAAACAUCCCCCUUAUUCAGAAAUGCCUUUUCCUAUUUCCAUAUUGCAACUUUGCUUACAAAUUUCCAAUCUGUCUUUCUGUUUACAGAAGAUAUACAAAAUUCCUUUUGUAUGAUCUCUUUAUAUCUCUUGAUUUUCUUUUGUGUUUGCUACCAAAGGGCCUGCACAUAGUGAGAAGAUUGUGCAUGAUCUGUGAGCUCUACCACACCUGGAAUUAGGGAUCACCAAUAUGAGAAAAAAAAUUGGAGGUACAAAUAACAUUAUCAUAUGUAAUUGGCAUAUAAAUUACAGAUGUAUCUAUGACUAAAAACCCUGUGGAUAUAAACCAAAUGCAGAUAAAUAUAAUAAAAUAUAUAAAAAUAUAAUCAAAUAAUGAUAGUGCUAUUCAAAUACUUCAAAUUUGCACAGUGAUUUAUUUCUUAAAAUAUGUUAACACAUGUGAG
rnacentral:lncRNA from 10 species